rnacentral:lncRNA from 1 species
UCAUUUGUGCAGGAGCUGCCCCGCUUUUAUGAAGGACAUGAUCCUUGGCGUGCUGCCAGCUAAGUAGGAGUUUCAUCAUCAUAUUGGUUCUUCGGUUGCUUACAUGAACUCGAACCUCGUUGUUUAGGUUGGCCGUGCCUACAGCAAGAUUGAUAACCAUUGGAAAUUCCUUUAGCGAUUGUCGGGGCGUAUCGUCUGGUACAAUAUAGCCGGAUCGUCAAGGUCAAAACCACCAAAUCAAUAUUUAUCCUACUUUAACCGAAAGAUCGGGCUGCCGUCACAUCACAAUCACGCCUCCAUAAGACCCAGAGUACAACCAAUGGGGAACAUACUCUCUUUGUUAUGUUGCGAUUGGAAUUUUUGUGCUGGUUUCGCGAUCUAUUACUCAUUUCACAUUAUGGUUUUAUUGAUAGCUAAAAAAUCUCGCAGCAUUGCACAAGGUACCAUCCAAUUAUGAACAUGAACAAUGACAAUUCUCAUUAACGGGCAGCCUUGGCAAUAUUCUCCCUGCUACUACUGCAUAUAUUUAGUGGUGUGUCACAAUUUGUUUUGAGGCAACACAAUUUGUUUCAAUAGAGGGUGUAGCGCUUAGUGGGCUAAAAACUAACAAAUUGGCCGAACACGAUAUUGAGAGAAAGGGAAGAAAGCCUUGAGGCCCAGCAGGCUAGCCCAGUGAGCAUUGCACGCUCGCAGCACUGCAUGACAAUAUUGAUCGAUCUACGACGGUCGAUGGAUCGCACCACUCCGGACCAGGGCUUGAGCGCACCAAUCCAAUCGUAGUAGUACUAGCUCUAGUCCCUUACGGCGGCGGCGCCACAGCAGACCAGCGAACGGAAGCGGCAGGCGCACAAGACAGGACCGGCAAGGCGGCAGUUCGGCGGUGCAGCAACCAGCAGUCACGGCACCGCCGCACCGGGCAGUGGGUCAUGUACUAGCUCCUUGCAUUCCCUCUCUUCAAUCCUCGAAAUUUGAAUCGUUUCUUGCACUGAGAAAUUACAACAUUGGUUUGUUACAGUGAAUUCUAAACAUAUGCAUUCAUCGGCAUGUUAUAUUUGCAGCCGAGUUGAAACAAAAGGUGGCUUCUAUUUGUUACUACUACAAUCUGUUUGCAGAAACCAGUCUUGUUGCCAUCUUGUAUUUGUGGUCAUGAUCACGAUUGAAUGCGAUUUCAAAGGCGUUGGUUGCAUUUGACAAAGUGCCAUUAACUGAGGGCAUGCAUAUAGGUGAGCAAGUCACCUUGAGCGUUGUGCUAUUGAAGGCUCUCAUUGACAACCGUCUGAGUCCUGUGCUGAUGUGCUAUUGAAGGGUCGUGGAGUCCCUAGACAGCCCUCGAGUCACGUCCUAGUGUGUUCGUGUUCACAUGUAAAACCUUUUUUUUUUGUGUUCAUGACCGUCGUCGUCUGUAUAUAAGAUGAAAGAUGAAGUAAUAAAGUGUUGGAAUAGCUAAGCUGGUCACCAACCAGAGUUCUAGUGCGUCUCCUUCCGGUGUAAGUGUAGCCAUAGUGAUAUUGGCCAUAGUAUGCUCGCUUAGGCUCAAAUUCAACAGCUUCUCCUCCCACACAUACCGGCCCGCGAGGUACGGCAAUCCUCCAUUGAUUGGUUCGCGUGCCACUGCAGCUCUCUCUCUCUCUCUCUCUCUCUCUCUCUCUCUCUCUCUCUCUCUCUCAGAUUUACUUGUGUGCUACAUCCUAAUGUUUCACCACUUGCAGUUGCAGAUUCAUCAAUCCAUGAUGUUCUUCGCGGGUGUAUCAGUAAUCGUCGACGGCAAGCUCGUGCACGCCACCACCUCCCCGACUACUGCCAGCGCCAGCGGGUACCACUUGCUUGUUGUUGAAGGCCAGUCGUGCACUCCAGAACCUAUUAAGUCUCGCUGUUUCAUAAUCGGAGGCCAUCGCUGGUACAUCAUGUUCUACCCCAAUGACGAACACCUGAACAACAAUGGAUAUAUAACCCUUUGGCUUCACCUCCAUAAGGAAGAGGCACCGGCUACAGAGACCGUGAAGGCACAGUUCAAGUUCAGUUUCGUUGACGAGACCGACAAGCACAAGCCGGCAUGCAUCCAUGGUAGAAAAUUAUCCGAGUUUGAAGCUGGCGGCAACGACGAGGGACGGGAGGCAAUGGGGAAAUCUGAACACCUCAAGGACGACAGUUUCACCAUCCGGUGCGACAUCGUGGUUGUCACGGAAGAAGUGAUCACCACCACCGGACCCACGGCCACCGCUUCUUCGUUAAUUGUGGUGCCGCCGUCCAACAUGCAACGAAACUUCACCGAUCUUCUCCUGACCGGAGAGGGCACCGAUGUGGCCUUCCGAGUCGGCGGCGAGACGUUUGCCGCCCACCGAUGCGUUCUCGCGGCCCGGUCUACCGUCUUCAGGGCGUUGCUCUUCGGUCCGAUGAAGGAAGGCACGUCCGCCAUGGUGCAGAUAGAUGACAUGAACGCAGCAGUGUUCAAGGCGAUGUUAGGGUUCAUCUACGGAGACUCACUUCCUGCACCAGCAGUGCAGGACGAGGACGUCGUUAUGCUGCCGCACCUUCUUGCUACAGCCGACAGGUACGACCUGCUGAGGCUGAGGAUGAUGUGGGAGAAGAAGCUGUGCGAGCACAUCAACGUGAGCACCGCGGCAGUCAUCCUGGCGCUCGCCGAGCAGCACGGCUGUGAAGGGCUGAAGAAGGCAUGCAGCGAGUUCCUCCGGUGUCCAGACAACCUGAGAGCGGUGCUAGCCACGGACGGCUUUGAUCAUUUGUGCAGGAGCUGCCCCACUCUCAUGAAGGACAUGAUACUUGGUGUGCUGCCGCCUGCCGGCUAAGUAGGACUUUCAUCAUCAUAUUGGUCGACAGCUCUUAUGUUCCUGUGAAUUUCCCACUUCCCUUGCUUACUGUAUUUGUCGUCGCAGAAGAAAAAGGGAAUGAAAGUUAAGUACGACUUUGUUCGAGAAGACUCAUGGAUGCUGCAGGCGAUGGGGUUGGUACCAUUUCUGACACUGGAUCAAGGAUCGAUGACGUUUUCUAGCUUGCGACGAAUUGCCAUCUUCAGUAUUGUUUCCCCCUUGUUGUGCUUAUUGGUGAAUUGUUUUUAUAAAGGUGUACUGCCUCCGUGUGGAUCUUUGUAUUCUCGAGGAUGUUAUUUGUUUACAUGCUAGCCUUUUGAACCUUGAAUGAAGUCCUAGUGGUUUCCUUAAUUAAAUUGGAGAAAUCCCUUUUAUGAGAAAAAAAUAGGAGACGAAAAGUUGUGGUCAUUUUGUUUUCCCCUCUGACGUGUUUGUUACUUGUUAGUUCAUUUUG